AAGGGGGUAAGGGUAGACCCCAAAACUCAUAUGGUUAAUGUUAAACCCACGGUAAUAGGAUGCGUUGAUGACCCCUUUAUCUUAGCAUCACAAGCGCAACAAGUGUAUUAUACAUCAUAUCCUUCAAAAGCAAAAGAACUAAAUGCCUGGUUAGCCGUUGUAAAGACGAUCCUAGGGGGAAGUUUACCAACUCGCCCAAGAUGUUAGUGAAGUGGUGGAUGAUGAUGAUGAUGAUCUGGACAUGGAACAUUUCUUUCAAGAGAAUGAAAGGGUAGAAUGCACAGUUAUAGAGGAUCUUCUCCCCAUUUCUUAUGUACAUAAGAAUGGAAGGUUAGAAGAAGUGGAAGAUGUCGACGAUGAUAAUAAUGAUGAAGUUGAGUUUAAAGCCACACAUUUAGCUGAUGAGGGUUUUAACGAUAAUGAUGAAGAAGUUCAUUUUAACAAUGAAAAUUCUGAAAAUGAAGAUCGAGCGAAAGAUUUAGUAAUCAAGGGACUGCUACCUGGAUUAUUAUAUUAAAUUUAAUAAGUUUGUGAUCAGAUCCAUGGGAGAGCUGGAGAGAUGUUCAUAAUGAGCACAUGACACAGAUGUAUUUUCAGUGGGAGGAUAAAAACAAUGCACAAAUUCAUAGGCGUUGGGAGAAGUGCAUUGUUGGUAAAUUCACCACUAUGUUGCGUAACGUACGGAAUGAUGCUAAAGCUACGACGAUAGAACAAGGUAAAAAUGUUGGAGAUGAUAUGACCGACUUUAAACCGCCAUAGAUAAGAUUUGAGAUAUGGAAACAAAUGCUUGAUCAUUGGAACACACCUGCAUGGAAAGGAGAGUGUUUAAGAAACAAAGAAAUUAGAAGUAGGGCAACUGGAGGCAAACAUAUACUAGGAUCUCAAUCCUAUGUGACCAUGAAAAGAAAAGCGGCUAAGGUACUUGGGCAUGAACUAUAAGCUCAUGAGAUGUGGAAGCAAUCCCACUUCAGGAAAGGAAGUCGGCCAUUGGAUAAAGAUUUAAGUGUACUUUUGGACGUUCAUGCAGAAGGGGACGAUUAAGAAGAAAAUCUUAUCUGGGUAGAUGAAAAGGCUGAGGAGACUUGGGAUAAAUAUGUUGGUUUUCUUGUGGAGAAGUACGGGAAGGAACGCAGUAAACGUCCAAAAUUUGACAAAGACUUGUGGUCACGAGCUGGGGGCACUAAUAGAGGAAAAGUGUACGGUUUACGCAAUGUUAGUGACCCGUAUGUAUAUAGCAGAGAAGACCCUGAGGUAAAGAAUCCGGGUCGUCAAGUGUACAAGCCGGAGGUGAUACACGCUUGAAAAGUAUGCUUUAAAGGUACGUAACUACGGUUUCGUUACGAUACGCUCGAUUACGUAUUUUCACUAGUAGACUUUAAAUUAUCAUAAUAGAUGAAAUUGGUAUUUAGUUAAGUGACGAAGAUCACUAAGUAGAUAAACGGGUCAAAAGGUGAAAUUAUCACCCUUUGACAAUAUCGACUAAUGGUUCAUUGAGUUAUAUGAUUAUAGGAAUGAAUAUCAUAUGGAUGUUUACAGCGCCAUCACUUAACAGCCACCAAGGCAAGGUAUUGAAACGGGUCAAUAUAUUGAUCCAAGCCAGGUAUGUAUAAUAACACAACUCAUCACGUAGAAUUUGGAGUUCUAUAAGAGUUAGACCAGGUUAAAGUAUAGAUAUUCGGUUAUCUUUAGGUAAACCGAAUAAGUUGAAUUAUGUUUAUGGUGUUUUAGAAGCACAUGAGUUUACAAACAAGAAUUAUAGUUAAAAGGUUGGAUUUUUAGUCAAACAAGUACUUAAAGGUCCUUGUAGUAAAGGAAGGAUGAAAAUUAACUGAAUUGCCCUUAUAAGCUAAUUUAAACGAACGACCCAUAAAGGUGGUCCGGAAAUAAGUUUUAUGAUUAAACAUAUGCUUAGAAUGAGUAUAGGUAGUGAAGGAUGUAAAUCCUUGGGUCGAAAGACUUUAUAUGAGUCUUUGUCGUAAAAUGAUAAUCCGAGGGGUAGAAAUUCGGAACAUAUAGAUAUCCAUAUUAAAUCCAACACACAUAUAUAGAUGUGGUGGAAGAUAACUUGAUAAGAAAUGUAGGGAUAAGAUGCUAGAAAUGAAUGAAAGCGAGUUCAAGUGUUAAAGUGCUAAAAUACCCUUAACGGGUCAAAUAAGCAUACGAGCGAAAACGGGUUUAAUUUGUGUAAUAAACCUAUGAUUAGAAACUAAUAUAGUAGGUAACAUUAAUUUGAAGAAGUGUAUGAGAUAUAGGAAUCAAAGAAAUACGUUUGUUUGAUAAACGCAUGAAUGGGUCAAAACUUUGUAAAAAGGUAUUAAGUCGAGGACUUAAAAAGUCUAAAAUUUCGUUAUGCCGGAUGUUGGGUUUUAACACCAUAAGAUGGAGAAUUAAAUUACGGAUGCGUAGGAAAAAGAAUCGGGUAAAACGGAUUAAAAACGAGAGAGUUAUGCUCGUUUCCGUGAAAUCGGGUUAUGCUAGGAAUCUGCAGCACCAGCAAACAACAUUCUGUCGAAAACAAGUGCUAGCGUAGCGCGAGCAUGUACUAGCGCUACGCGAGCAUGUGUCAGUUUCGCGAAAAUCGUUUAUUUUAACCGUAUACGCAUUGCGAACCCGUUUAAAUACGUUCUAAGUUACGUAUGACUAAUUCAACUCAUGUUUUAUGAGUUUCAGGUAAAAUUUUAGCACCGGAGGACGAUCAAGCUCAGCGAGGAACCGAACACAUAAAGAACAAAGCUUCCGCAUGACGUUUCGUUGUUACUUUUAAAUGACGAACUUAAUUACAUUAUGUUCUAAACUGUUAAAUUGUAAAAGGUUUUUAAUAAGCCCGU